rfam:Myotis davidii contig9452, whole genome shotgun sequence.
GGAGGUUCUCAGGUGACUCACCCCGGGAUCAUGCUCCCUCCUCUCUGGUUCUGGGGCACAUCACCUGAGAACUGCC